GGAGAGGUGGCAGAGUUGGUCGAUUGCGUCUGACUUGAAAUCAGAUGAGCCUGUAAGGGUUCCGGGGGUUCGAAUCCCUCCCUCUCCG
rnacentral:tRNA from 1 species